GCAGCUCAGACCCUCGUUCUCGUGCAAAAUCCAGUGGUUACGAAAUUCUGGAAGUGGCUAAAAUUCUCGAAGAUGCUAUUUUUUGUUUACUUAAUCACCACAAAGGUUAGAAAAGGGCUGCUCUGGGAAGCCAGCAUGAGAUUCCUGCCCGAGAUGAAAACCAGGGAAGUACAGGAAUGACCUGGUGGAAAUUCAGAGCCUGAUUUUGAUUUCAGUCACAUAGGUCUUAAGCCACUGCAAUUUUUUGAACUUCAGUUGGGCUAUUCCACUUCAUUUCACAUGCAAAAAGUGAAUUAGGCCCCAGAAGAACCUGCAGCUGCCUGUUACUUCAUUUUAUUGUAGUGUUGCUUCAUGUUUUAACAUCUCUUGUUUGUGGCAUUUAUAUGGUCCAGUUGCUCCCUCCCAAAGAGAAAAUCUGAUGGGAAAGGACAGAAGGGAAUAAACUUCUGCAAGAACCUACUUGUAGCUUCACUGCCAAAUCCUUUGAAAAGCAGCAUUAUUGCUGUUGAAAAAAAACCCUGUUCGUAUAAAGCUUACUGGCGUGCUUCUUGAUAGACCUUGUAUCAGAUGCACUGUUCCUAAAGUGCCUGAGGAAUAUUUUUGGCAGAAUAGGUGUACGUUUGUUGAGAGGGUCAAAUUUACUCUACUGGUAUGCUGUUAAUCCCCAGGGCAAUCUCCUGUUACAGGAGAAUGGUAGUGAGUAGUCAUGCAAGUUCUCUCAUUCUUUGCAAGUGAUGUGCCAGUGUCCCAAGCUGGUGACAGCACUGCAUUUCUCCACUGAGACUGUCAGGUAGGGAAAGAAUCAAAAAAGGUUUCUUUUCUUGCACCUGAAAAACAGAAACUGAGAUACAACUUCAGAACACUACAUAUACUAUAGGCAAUUAGGCACCAAGAAAGGGCAGGAAAUAGCUAAAGCAAAAUAUCAGAUCCAAAAAUAGAUAAAAAUUUAGCUUUAGAUAGAUUUAUUCUGGAAGUUAGGAGAAGGGCUUUCCAAGGCUUUGGAAAAUUUUUCUAAUAGUAGCUGUCAGAGCAACAAACAAAAAGAAAACUGAUUUAAAACUAGAGCUUUUUAUACAUAAAAAGAAAUCUCUGAGAUGACCUGAAAUAACACAAGUCAGAACUCAGUGAUCCAAUAGAUUAUAUGUCCAUAUUACCAAGUAAAUUUGCCAGUCAACACCAGCUGCUGACGUUGGACAUCAGGCUUGAUAUGUCAUGAGUGAAUCAAGUUAGAGCUCUUUCUACUGAGACUGAAAUCACUAAUGUAUUUCAUUUAGUCCAGCAAAAGCCAUCCAGCUGCUCUGGCUUGUAUAUUACCUUCAGCCUGUAUAUGACUAAUACAGGAUGAAUUCAUAAAAUCAAUUCCUGAUGAAAGCUCCAUAUCUUAUUAUUAAUCUCCUUUUUCAUAUGAACCUUAUGAAAAUACUGAUGUGAGCCCAUGAUGCUGUAUGAGCAGCAAUAUGUUACAUUCUAUACAAAAAUAUGCAUGAGCAUGCAGGUGUUUGCAAUGUAAACACCAAUCCAAACAAAAGGUUGUUGUGAUUUUGUGUACUGAGGUGCAGUUCAAAACAAGGGGCUCACUGACUGUGGGCAUUUGAGGUUGCAGUUCGGUAGUGUCUGUACCUAUUGUAACAUGUUUUGUUUUGCACAUCCUUUCUUCAGACUUCCAAUUUGGAGUACAGUUUGAGAACACAGCAUGAUGGUUAUUAUGAGUGAGUCCAGGAAGGCAGUGAAUGCACGUUGACAGGUACUUCCUCUGGUUACAGAAGACCCAAACAGGGAUCUUCCAAACAAGGGUCAAAUUAACAUUUUCAAAUGGAAAUGCAUCUAUCCAUUCUGAGCUUACAGUGGUUUAGGUGGCAAGUAGGGUGUCUGUAGGCAGCUUGUGGUGUCACUCUUUCUGUCUGCAUUGGUUGGAACUGGGGUGUUCAUGAGGCAACUGAAAAGGAGAAAUUAAAAUUCAGUUGUAGGCCAGGUGGUGACUGAAGAGACAUACCUUGUGGGCUAAACUUGACUUGUUUGUUUAGAUUUAACUGUGAGAGGGUUCUUUGCAGUCCAAACAGUAAAUAGGAAAACAACCUGAGAAAGAAAUCUCAUAGGAAGAAAAAUCUGAUUAAGAAAUUCUUAUCAAUCAAAACAAUCUUCUACAGCAUGAAAGUUAAGAGUUCCUAACUUUAUUUCUUUUUUCCCUGUUUCUGCUCUGAACAAAAUUUUUGUGUGUUUGAAUGAGUUUCAGUCUGAGUUUGGGAAUGCGACCUCUCCUUUUCCCACUGCCAGUCUAAACAGUCCUGAAAUGAGAAGGAUGUUUGAAAUAAACUCCAAAUCCCAUUUUGGGUCUGUGUUCUUUAUGAGGACUAAUUAACUCUUAAAGAAAACUGUAGCUUUGCAAAGUUUUGGCCACACAAAUUAUAAUUAUUGCUGUUAUGAUGCCUGUAUUUUUCUUUUUCAGGACAAAACCUUGCUUAAUAUUUAUUCCAAUUUCCAUGUACAUCAGUGGUAAUACUGGCUGUUUAUGGACUUCACAAUGUGCCUCCAACACAGAUAUAAUCUGAAUUUGUUCAAAACUAAAAAUAAAUGAGAAGUCUGUAUGUUUUGUAGGUUUUUGAAUAUUUACUAAUUAAAUGCACUACUUGA